CAGCCGCCGCGGUAAUACGGAGGGUGCAAGCGUUAAUCGGAAUUACUGGGCGUAAAGCGCACGCAGGCGGUUUGUUAAGUCAGAUGUGAAAUCCCCGAGCUUAACUUGGGAACUGCGUUUGAAACUGGCAAGCUAGAGUCUUGUAGAGGGGGGUAGAAUUCCAGGUGUAGCGGUGAAAUGCGUAGAGAUCUGGAGGAAUACCGGUGGCGAAGGCGGCCCCCUGGACAAAGACUGACGCUCAGGUGCGAAAGCGUGGGGAGCAAACAGGAUUAGAGACCCCAGUAGUCCCUGUCUCUUAUAC
rnacentral:rRNA from 1 species